rnacentral:rRNA from 1 species
GACGAACGCUGGCGGCGUGCUUAACACAUGCAAGUCGAACGGAAAGGCCCUGCUUUUGUGGGGUGCUCGAGUGGCGAACGGGUGAGUAACACGUGAGUAACCUGCCCUUGACUUUGGGAUAACUUCAGGAAACUGGGGCUAAUACCGGAUAGGAGCUCCUGCUGCAGGGUGGGGGUUGGAAAGUUUAGGCGGUUGGGAAUGGACUCGCGGCCUAUCAGCUUGUUGGUGUGGUAGUGGCUUACCAAGGCCUGGACGGGUAGCAGGCCUGAGAGGGUGACCGGCCACAUUGGGACUGAGAUACGGCCCAGACUACUACGGGACGCAGCAGUGGGGAAUAUAGUACAAUGGGAGGAGCGCUGAUGCAGCCACGCCACGUGCGGGAUGACGGCCAUCGGGUUGUAAACCGCUUUCGCCUUUGACGAAGCGUGAGUGACAGUAAUGGGUGAAGAAGCACCGGCUAACUACGUG